AGACAGGGUUUCUCUGUGUAGCUUUGCGCCUUUCCUGGAUCUCGCUCUGUAGACCAGGCUGGCCUCGAACUCACAGAGAUCCGCCUGCCUCUGCCUCCUGAGUGCUGGGAUUAAAGGCGUGCGCCACCACCGCCCGGCCAUGCCAGUGAUCGUAAGUCUUACAGGGCAUUCCUACACCUAGAGAGCUGCUCUUCCUCAAUGACAUUAAACUCUGAGAAUAUAAAUAAUAAUUAUAUGGAAAGAAUAGAUCGCAGAAUCAACGUAAAAGACCUGUUUUAAUAGAGGAAUGCUGGCUCAGAAGACACUCUCCCAAGGUGGUACACCUUGGCUCCCUGAGUACUUUUAGCUUGAGGACACUGGAAAGCCUUCUGAAGUGUCGUCCUGCCCCUUAGUCCUCCCCAAAGGGAGUCAGAAAGCAGAAUUCCUCUGUCCCAUGCUGAGUCAUAGAAACUAGAACCUUCUUCUUCUCCUCCUUCUCCUCCUGCUCUCUCUCUCUGUUAUUAAUAGUCUGCUUUUCUUUUUAAAAUUUAUUUUAUGUAUGUGAGUGGUAUGUGUACCACGUGCCCACAGAAGUCAGAGGACCAUGUUGGCUUCCCUGGAACUGGAGUUACAGUGUUGUGAGCCACCAUGUGGGUGCUGGGAAUUGAACUCAGGUCCCCUGCAAGAGCAGCCAGUGCUUUUAACCACUGAUCCAUCUCUCUGGCCCUCCUUUUUUUUUAAGCAAGGCACAAGCUGAAGAAUGUGGCUACCCUCCCCCUCCCCUUCCUGUCUGAGCAAGAAGAAAUUCUCUGGCCUUCCUUAUCUGAUAAGCCAUUCCAGAAGUAUCCUGCCCUACAUCUGGGAGGAAGGAAUGCGACACAGAAAGGUAAGGAAGAAUCUUGACACACAGACCUGGCUAGGUUCCCGCUCAACCUGUCACACUAGCUCACCCCUGUCUAAUUACAGUUUGGAACAGCUGUCCAUUCUUCAGUGAAAACGAACAAUCUUCCCUAGAUCUUUGUUUUUCAUUCUGAGGACUCCCGUGUCAUGUAAAAUAUUGAUUAAAUAGAUCUGUUAUGCUUUUCUCUCUUUCAUUUAUUGUGUCUGUAAUAAUGCAUGAGUCAAAAGGGCAGAUAACUCAUGGAAUUUUAAAUUCAUUGUUGUUUUUUUUUCAUAUUUUCCUUGGUAUCAAGUGUCUAGGGUAGAGUAAUUAGUUAUGGUUAAUAUAGAUUGUUAACUUGACAAAAUUAGAAUCACCUAGUAGACAAAUCAUGACCAUAUCUGUGAGGGAGUUUCUAGACUGGGUUAUUGUGUUAGGAAGAAAUACCUUAAAUGUGAGCCUCACCAGUCCAGGAGCUGGAAUUCUAGACUGGAUAAACAGAAGAGCCCAGCCCAGCAUUCCUCUCCCCCUGCAACAUUCCUCUCAUCCUGUGGAUGCCACGUGACCAGAUGCUCCGGGUGCCUGCCACUGACUCCCCCGCCCUGGACCGUGAGUCAAAGGGACCCUUCCUUCCAUAAACUGAUUUAUCAGGAUUCUGUCACAGCCACGAAGAAGGAACUCAUGCAACACUCAAUAACCAAUCAUUGACCAGAAUUAUUGUGGAAUAUUAGCACAAAACUGGAAAUAAACAGACUACAGUAUUCAAAGGAUACUGGGAAAUUCUUGGGGUGCCAUGCCAGUUUUUUUUAAAGCUUCAAAUGUCUUUCUAUAUCAUUGCAGAACUAGAGAAAUUCCUUCACUCUGGACUUUAAUUAUUAUCAUUCUUAAGUGACGGUGUGUUAUAAGUUCCAUAGAUUAAAGUCUCAUUGUUCUACAUUGUUCUGCGUUCCCGUGACUGAGCCCCAGGCUUAGGACACAGGAAUCACUCCAUAGAUGUGGUUUGUGGGUUUUGUUUUUGUUUUUGUUUUUAAUAGCCCCAUGGAAGUGCUUUCCAGUCGCCAUUUUGUAUAAGAUUUGCCAUUUCCCCUCGGAACACCAGCUGGUUGUGUAGCUGCCUCUUAGGCUAAAAUGAAAUACAACAAGCUCUCUAACUUUGGUCCAGAUUAGCUCUUAACAUUUAUAAGACAGGAGUAGUCAGUGUGCCAGUGAGGAUACCGCCCAGCCCAGCCCUGUGACUGAGGAAGCAAGCUUUCAUAGACAAUCAAUAAACCUCUCUCUCACCAGAAAGAAAUUGUCAUUAUAAUAUCUUGGGUGCCUCUCACAACUUCUUUCCCUUCUAAGAGGAAAGUGUUUUUAAGUAUUUGUUCUUUUGAGAGCUUACAGAUGGCAAUGACUUCCACGCCUGUUUAAUUCUAGUAACACACUGCAUGAUCCUAACCAAAUUCCAAAUGGCAUCGGCUGACUGGAGUUGGAAAAGAGGAUGCUCACAAAAGUGCGUGCCAAAGGCCUGUCAAUUACAGUCUGAAAUAGGAGGCAAAGCUGUGGAUGGAAAAGCCGUCGCAGACACAGGGAGGCUCUGCAGCUAGGCAGACAGCAAGGCUUGCUUGGGUGACACUGAACAGGUCGGCAUAGAGAAAACAGCACUUGCCAACGAGGGAAGACAAAACUGACGGAUUUGAAAGCACUCCAUGAGAAGAUGAAUGUGGAACAUUUACUCCCCUCAAAGAAGAGAUUACAAUUGGCAAGAGUCUGAAAGUGAUUAGUGCUUACAGAAGACACCAUGCAACAAAAAUGUCUGCUUCAUUAUGAAAAACACCCAAAGAGCUCCAGUCCAAGAAGAGACAAAGACCAUCUGUGGUGGAGAAAAUGAGCGGAGGCCACCGCUGGUGGAGUGGGGUGGGGGCUUAAGUGUGACAAGAAAGGGGAGGCUUUAGAAUGUCAUCAUGCUACAGUCUAAUCGA